GAUGAACGCUGGCGGCGUGCUUAACACAUGCAAGUCGAACGAAGCACCUCUCCCGAAGAUUGACACAGCUUGCUGUAGAUUGAUUCAUUUGAGGUGACUGAGUGGCGGACGGGUGAGUAACGCGUGGGUAACCUGCCUCAUAGAGGGGGACAACAGUUGGAAACAACUGCUAAUACCGCAUAGUAAGAAGAAUUCGCAUGUUUUCUUCUUGAAAGAUUUAUCGCUAUGAGAUGGACCCGCGUCUGAUUAGCUAGUUGGUAAGGUAACGGCUUACCAAGGCGACGAUCAGUAGCCGGCUUGAGAGAGUGAACGGCCACAUUGGGACUGAGACACGGCCCAAACUCCUACGGGAGGCAGCAGUGGGGAAUAUUGCACAAUGGGGGAAACCCUGAUGCAGCGACGCCGCGUGAGUGAAGAAGUAUUUCGGUAUGUAAAGCUCUAUCAGCAGGGAAGAUAAUGACGGUACCUGACUAAGAAGCCCCGGCUAACUACGUG
rnacentral:rRNA from 1 species